UACGUAGGUGGCAAGCGUUGUCCGGAUUUACUGGGCGUAAAGAGCGCGCAGGCGGUCGUUCAAGUCGCGUGUGAAAGCCCCCGGCUCAACUGGGGAGGGUCACGCGAUACUGAUCGACUCGAAGGCAGGAGAGGGUAGUGGAAUUCCCGGUGUAGUGGUGAAAUGCGUAGAUAUCGGGAGGAACACCAGUGGCGAAGGCGGCGACCUGGGCCAAUAUUGACGCUGAGGUGCGAAAGCGUGGGGAGCAAACAGG
rnacentral:rRNA from 1 species